rnacentral:rRNA from 1 species
GAUGAACGCUGGCGGCGUGCUUAACACAUGCAAGUCGAACGGGAAUUACUUUAUUGAAACUUCGGUCGAUGUAAUUUAAUUCUAGUGGCGGACGGGUGAGUAACGCGUGGGUAACCUGCCUUAUACAGGGGGAUAACAGUCAGAAAUGGCUGCUAAUACCGCAUAAGCGCACAGAGCUGCAUGGCUCAGUGUGAAAAACUCCGGUGGUAUAAGAUGGACCCGCGUUGGAUUAGCUAGUUGGUGGGGUAACGGCCCACCAAGGCGACGAUCCAUAGCCGGCCUGAGAGGGUGAACGGCCACAUUGGGACUGAGACACGGCCCAGACUCCUACGGGAGGCAGCAGUGGGGAAUAUUGCACAAUGGGGGGAACCCUGAUGCAGCGACGCCGCGUGAAGGAAGAAGUAUCUCGGUAUGUAAACUUCUAUCAGCAGGGAAGAUAGUGACGGUACCUGACUAAGAAGCCCCGGCUAACUACGUGCCAGCAGCCGCGGUAAUACGUAGGGGGCAAGCGUUAUCCGGAUUUACUGGGUGUAAAGGGAGCGUAGACGGUGUGGCAAGUCUGAUGUGAAAGGCAUGGGCUCAACCUGUGGACUGCAUUGGAAACUGUCAUACUUGAGUGCCGGAGGGGUAAGCGGAAUUCCUAGUGUAGCGGUGAAAUGCGUAGAUAUUAGGAGGAACACCAGUGGCGAAG